UCUUGAGAAGAAGAUUUUUUAAUGACCCCACCCUAUUUUUGUCUUCUCUUGAUUAUCUCCCCUUGUGAGGGGACUUGGCCCUUCAUUUUAACAAUUUAAAUUCCCCUUCACCCAAGGAUGCUUUGUACCAAGUUUGGUCAAAAUUGGCCCGGUGGUUCUUGAGAAGAAGUCAAAAAUACAGACAGACGGACAGACGGACGGACGACGGACAAAAUGUGAUCAGAAAAGCUCACUUGAGCCUUCGGCUCAGGUGAGUUAAAAAAUUAUAAUC